UACAGAGGUCCCAAGCGUUGUUCGGAUUCACUGGGCGUAAAGGGUGCGUAGGCGGUCGGGUAAGUCCGAUGUGAAAUCUCACAGCUUAACUGUGAAACUGCACUGGAUACUAUCCGGCUAGAGGAAUGGAGGGGAGACUGGAAUACUUGGUGUAGCAGUGAAAUGCGUAGAUAUCAAGUGGAACACCAGUGGCGAAGGCGAGUCUCUGGACAUUUCCUGACGCUGAGGCACGAAAGCCAGGGGAGCAAACGGG
rnacentral:rRNA from 1 species